UCGAUUGACUGGCGCUGGAGGUAACUCACUACAGCCAUUUUAGAGUGUGCAAAUUUUUCGUUACCGAGAUAAUUUGUUGUUCUAGGUGUAGUUUGUUGCGUUCAGCUCUAGAACAACCACAAGUGGCAUUUAUAUUGUAAAAGAAUAAAGCCUAGUAAGG